GCCGUUGUAGUAUAGUGGCAGUACAUCACGUUGUGGCCGUGAUGACCCUGGUUCGAUUCCAGGCAACGGCA
rfam:Smittium mucronatum strain ALG-7-W6 scaffold-1315, whole genome shotgun sequence.